CAGCUGGUAGAAAUAAGCUUAGGGGGUCUUUCAUGUGGUCCCCACAUCUGUACCCCAGAUUUCAUAGUGGGAAGAGAACCCUGACAUGGUGGCAGAGCGGUGGGAUAAUUUUGAACCAGAAGCACAAACCUCAGGAUAUUAAAAAGACGUGUUUUUUUUCUUUUGGCUGAUCGAAAACCAGGGAGUUUUUUUUUAAAAAAUGACACUUUAUUUUCUUUUAGCUGAGAGCAGCUGGAGGGUUUUUUUUCUCUGCCUCAGGGCAGAGUAGUUAAGUCCUGCAAGGGAAUUCACAAGCUGGUUUUUUUUUUUACUAGCUCUUGGCUAGGGAGGCUAGGAUGACAGAAAGUGAUGUCCAAAAGAAACUAGAUUUAACUAGACUGGAAGCAAAAGAGAAAGAAAACGAACAUAAGAGAUGGAUGGAAUUAAGAUAAUUAGAAAUUAAUGCAGCGGAAGCUGCCCACAAGAGAGCUGUGGAGGCAGAAACAGCCAGGGAGGAGGCUGCCCGCAAGAGAGCUAUGGAGGCCCAGAAGCAUGCUCAGGAGGAGAGGGAAAGAGAGAGAAAGCAUGACCUGGAGAUGAUGAAGCUGAAAUGACAAAACCCUUCAGCAGCUGGCUCCACUUCCCCAAAAAUCCACAAAUGGGAGCGUCUAUAUCCACAGUAUGAUGAAUCCAAUGAUAUUUCUGAAUAUUUCAUCACUUUUGAGAGACUGUGCACCCUCCAUGCAAUUCCUGAAGAUCACAAGAUGACCACAUUGGUAGCAAAAUUGUCUGGAAGAGCUCUGGACAUAUUCAACAAGAUGCCUAUUGAGGAUGCUUCUGACUAUGCUGGGGCUGGAAGGGCUGUAGGGGGAG